rnacentral:rRNA from 1 species
UACGUAGGGUGCGAGCGUUAAUCGGAAUUACUGGGCGUAAAGCGCGCGCAGGUGGUUCCUUAAGUCUGAUGUGAAAGCCCACGGCUCAACCGUGGAGGGUCAUUGGAAACUGGGGGACUUGAGUGCAGAAGAGGAGAGCGGAAUUCCACGUGUAGCGGUGAAAUGCGUAGAGAUGUGGAGGAACACCAGUGGCGAAGGCGGCUCUCUGGGCUAGCACUGACGCUCAGGCACGAAAAGCGGUGGGGAGCAAACA